rnacentral:rRNA from 1 species
ACGAACGCUGGCGGCGUGCCUAAUACAUGCAAGUAGAACGCUGAAGAGAGGAGCUUGCUCUUCUUGGAUGAGUUGCGAACGGGUGAGUAACGCGUAGGUAACCUGCCUUGUAGCGGGGGAUAACUAUUGGAAACGAUAGCUAAUACCGCAUAACAAUGGAUGACCCAUGUCAUUUAUUUGAAAGGGGCAAAUGCUCCACUACAAGAUGGACCUGCGUUGUAUUAGCUAGUAGGUGAGGUAACGGCUCACCUAGGCGACGAUACAUAGCCGACCUGAGAGGGUGAUCGGCCACACUGGGACUGAGACACGGCCCAGACUCCUACGGGAGGCAGCAGUAGGGAAUCUUCGGCAAUGGGGGCAACCCUGACCGAGCAACGCCGCGUGAGUGAAGAAGGUUUUCGGAUCGUAAAGCUCUGUUGUAAGUCAAGAACGAGUGUGAGAGUGGAAAGUUCACACUGUGACGGUAGCUUACCAGAAAGGGACGGCUAACUACGUGCCAGCAGCCGCGGUAAUACGUAGGUCCCGAGCGUUGUCCGGAUUUAUUGGGCGUAAAGCGAGCGCAGGCGGUUUGAUAAGUCUGAAGUUAAAGGCUGUGGCUCAACCAUAGUUCGCUUUGGAAACUGUCAAACUUGAGUGCAGAAGGGGAGAGUGGAAUUCCAUGUGUAGCGGUGAAAUGCGUAGAUAUAUGGAGGAACACCGGUGGCGAAAGCGGCUCUCUGGUCUGUAACUGACGCUGAGGCUCGAAAGCGUGGGGAGCGAACAGGAUUAGAUACCCUGGUAGUCCACGCCGUAAACGAUGAGUGCUAGGUGUUGGAUCCUUUCCGGGAUUCAGUGCCGCAGCUAACGCAUUAAGCACUCCGCCUGGAGAGUACGACCGCAAGGUUGAAACUCAAAGGAAUUGACGGGGGCCCGCACAAGCGGUGGAGCAUGUGGUUUAAUUCGAAGCAACGCGAAGAACCUUACCAGGUCUUGACAUCCCGAUGCUAUUUCUAGAGAUAGAAAGUUACUUCGGUACAUCGGUGACAGGUGGUGCAUGGUUGUCGUCAGCUCGUGUCGUGAGAUGUUGGGUUAAGUCCCGCAACGAGCGCAACCCCUAUUGUUAGUUGCCAUCAUUCAGUUGGGCACUCUAGCGAGACUGCCGGUAAUAAACCGGAGGAAGGUGGGGAUGACGUCAAAUCAUCAUGCCCCUUAUGACCUGGGCUACACACGUGCUACAAUGGUUGGUACAACGAGUUGCGAGUCGGUGACGGCAAGCUAAUCUCUUAAAGCCAAUCUCAGUUCGGAUUGUAGGCUGCAACUCGCCUACAUGAAGUCGGAAUCGCUAGUAAUCGCGGAUCAGCACGCCGCGGUGAAUACGUUCCCGGGCCUUGUACACACCGCCCGUCACACCACGAGAGUUUGUAACACCCGAAGUCGGUGAGGUAACCUUUUGGAGCCAGCCGCCUAAGGUGGGAUAGAUGAUUGGGGUG